GGGUCAGAGCACCUGCCGCUCCUGCGGCCGCCCCGCCCUGGGCUGACCCGGGUGUUCAUGGGGUCUUCGCCGAAUACCGGAUCCCUCAGAAACCGAGAAUUGAGGCUUGAGACCGUGCCUCUCAGGAGAGAGGCAGCCUUGCCCUCCACGGUUUACCGAAGUCCGCUGAGAGAGGUCCGCGGGCAUCCUCCGCGUCCACAGCGGGCACUAGGGCUGCAGCCUGCGCGCCCCCCGACCUCCCGGCCACCUGGCCCCGCCCGGAUAGUGCUGCUGCCCUGAACCUGGGCGGCUGCAGUGCUGCCUAAUCCGAAGACACCAGCCUCGGACUGCUGAUCCUUCUGCAGAGUUUGAACUGUGAAGGUGAAAGAACAGGUCUUCGCUUUAGAAGCUAGGCCUGCCUCGAGGGCCUGGAUUCUAAGAAGUAGCGAGGAGGCCGCAGGAGCAUACAUAGGUCCUGAGGGCAUCCGAACCCCUACCAGCCCAGCCCAGCACUGACUUCACCCCACCUACCUCUUGGAAGGGAAGCAGCGGAGGCAUGAAGGCAAAUCUCUUAAUCCGGGAUCAUCACUGACUGAUAAAUUUCAUUCUGGGAACGCUGCUCGUUGGCAUGUCUUUGGUUUUGGUACCAGCGUGAUGGAGGCUUCACAUGAUGUCUUUGGAAGUGUUCCCUCCUCUUCAGUCUUUUGGAAGAGUUUGAGAAGAACUGGAUGAAAACAGAGGAGGGACCGGGCAGUCCCAGCAGGAUGGGGAAGCAGACAGACCUAUGACACACCAAGCAGCUCCAGAGCCACGACCAGCCCCUGACAAGGAGCAGCAGAAGUCUCAAAGCCUGUGAUGACCAGCCUGAGCUCACAGCAGCCCUGCUGACUGCUGUGCCCUGCACCUUGUAGAGGAUCUGCUGGGAGGACCUGGCUUCCUGGGAGGCAAAACUUCCUUGAAGAAAACACCUCUCCAUUCAUUCACGAAAUACUGUCUAGGCAGCUGUGAUGACUAAGACCUGGCCCUUGCCGUGGGAGGGGUGCUGGCACAGCCAGGAUUAUAGCAGGGCAGUGUGUGAUGGAGAUGUAAGGUGCUGGGGGGCUAGAGGAGGGAGGGAUCAGCAGAGCUGGGGCAGGGGAGGUGCAGAAAGGGCUACAGAUGUGGUGGACUCGGGUCUGUGCCUUCCAUGGGAGUAGCUAUUCCAGAAGAGAGCUGCUGCUAUGUUGCUGUGUUUAAUCAGUCAAUCCAGUGCAUAUUUACUGAGUACCCAAGAGACCCUGAAGACAUCCUGUCUCCUCCCUGAGCCCCUGUUUCUUCACUUGAAUAAUGAGGAAAUUAGACUAGGUAAAUUCUAGGGACAAACUGAGUCCCAUAUACAGAGCUAAGAAGUACAGAUUUGGGGUUUUUUUUUCCCCUAAAUACUGUGUUAUUGAUCUAAUUUAAUAACUCCAUUGUGGUCAGAGAAUUUACUUCGUAUGACCUGAAUACAUUUACAUGUAUAGAGACUUGUUUUAUGGCCCAGCAUAUGGUCCUUCUUGGUAUAUGGUCUGUGUGUACUUGAAAAGAAUGUGCAUUUUGCUACUGUUGGUGGAAUUUUACGUCAGAUCCUGUUGGUUGAUGGUGUUGUUAACGUCUAUAUCUUUUCUGUUUAUGUCUAGUUUUGGUGGAGUUUUUUUAUUUUUUAUUUUUUUUAGGGCUGCACCUGCCGCAUAUGGAAGUUCCAAGGCUAGGGGUUGAAUUGGAGCUGCAGCUGCUGGCCUGUGCCACAGCCACAGCAAUGCCAGAUCCAAGCCCCACCUGUGAGAUACACCACAGUUCACGGCAAUGCCAGAUCCAUAAACUACUGAGCAAGGCCAGGGACUGAACCAUGUCCUCCUGGAUACUAGUCGGGUUCAUUACCGCUGAGUCACAAUGGGAAUUCCUGCUUUUGUCUAGUUCUGUCAGUUGUUGAUGGCAGGGGCGGGGGGCGCGAUAUCCCCACCUAUAUCUGUAUCCAUAAGCCUAUUUAUUGUCUGUUUCUUCUUUCUGUUCUAUCAGUUUUUGUUUCCCACAAUUUGCAAAUGGUUGUUUGGUGUAUACAUAUUUAGGAUUGCAAAGUAUAUUCUUCAUAAGUGGACAUUUUUUUCUCAUUAUAUAAUGACCUUCUCUGUUUCUAGCAACAUUUGCUUUGCUCUGAAGCCAAUAUUAAUAUAGCCUCUCAAGCUUUCUUUUAAUGUUUAGUGUUUUCAUGAUGUAUCUUUUUCCAUCCUCUUAGUUUCAACCUGCCUGUAUCACUAUAUUUAGUUUCCUAUAGACAGCAUAUAGCUGAGUCCUUAAAAAAAAUCCACUGUAAUAACCUGUGUCAUUCAAUUAGUAUAUUUAAGAUAACACACAUUUUUACAUAGAUCACUUACAUAAUAAUUAAGGUAGUCAUUCAUAUAUUAGGGUUUUAAGUUUGCCAUUCUUUGGCCACACCAACAGGAUGUGGAAGUUCCCGAGCAGGGGGGGAUGAAGCCUGCUCCACAGCAGCAAUCCAAGAUGCUUCAGUGACAAGGCCAGAUCCUUAACCUGCUGCACCACAAAAGGACUACAAGUCUGCCAUUGUUUUUUGGUUUUCUGUUUAUUCUGGGUUUUUUGCUUCUAUAUAUUUUUCUUGCCAUUCUGGUAGAUUACCACAUUUUUUCGAAUUCUGUUCUGUAAUAUUUUGAAUGCAUUCAUUUUUAUAGAUUUUUUUAAGUGGUUGCUCUAGGUCUUACCUUAUAUGUAUGUGCAUGUGAGUAUAUAUAUAUGAUAUAUGUAAGAUACAUAAGUGUGGGGAUAUAUAUACACACACACGUGUGUGUGUGUGUGUGUAUCACUCUACUGGUGUCCUCAUUUUACCAGCAAGGUAGCAUUUUUCAGUUGCUGCUUUUAAGAUAUUUUCUUUGUCUUUAGUUUUCAGAAGUUUGACUAGGAUGAAUCUUGAUGUGGAUUUCCUGGGAUUUUUCAUAUUUGGAUUCACUUAGCAUCUGGAAUCUGCAGGUAAGUUUUUAUGUGUACAGGUCAGUGGCACUGUGUACCUUCACACUGCUGUGCAUCCAUCACCACUAUCCAUAUCCAAAACUUCUGCAUUAUCCCAAACUGAAUCUGUGUACUCCCUAAACAAUAAUUACCCAUUCCUUCUCUCUCCAGCCCUUGGUUACCACUAUUCUACUUUCUGUCUCUGUUUUCAACUACUAUGGGUACCUCAUAUAAGUGUAAGCAUACAAUAUUUGUCCUUUUGUGACUGGCUUAUUUCACUCAGCAUGAUCUCUUCAAGCUUCUUCCAUGUGGUUUCACUUUUAAGGCUGAAUGAUAUUUCAUUGUAGGUAUAUUCCACAUUUUAUUUAUUCAUCUAUCCAUGGACAAUUAGGUUAUUUCACCCUUUUAGCUAUUUUCAAUAAUGCCUGUUAUGAACACUGGUGUACAAAUAUUUGUUCAAGCCCCUGCUUUCAGUUUUUUUUGUGUGUGUAUACCAGAAGUGGAAUUGCUGGAUCAAAUGGUAAUUCUAUGUUUGAUAUUUUUGAGGAACUGCUAUACUCUUUCCCCACAGUGACUGCUCAACUUUGCAUUGCUCCCAGUAAUGCAAAGGGUUGAGUUUUUCCACAUCCAUACCAACAACUUGUUUUUUGUUUUUGUUUUUGUUUUUUAACAAUAGCUGUCCUAGGAUAUGGGUAAGAUGUAACAUCUCAUUGUGGUCUUGGUUUGCAUUUCCCUAAUGAUUAGUGAUGUUAAGCAUCUUUUAAUGUGCAUUUUGGCUAUUUGUAUAUCUUCUUUGGAGAAAUGUCUAUUCAAGUCCUUUGCCUAUUUUUGAAUUGGGCUAUUUUGAUAUUGAAGUUUAGGUGUUCUGGAUACUAAUCCCUUAUCAGAUAUGUGACCUGCGAAUAUUUUAUUCCAUUCCGUUGAUUGCUUCUUUACUCUGUUGAUAGUGUUCUUUGAUGCACAAAUGUUUUUAAUUUUUAAAAAAUUCAAUUUUUUGAUAUUUUUUUUUUUGCCUGUGCCUUUGGUGUCACAUCCAAAAAAAAUAAUUGCCAAACCCAAUGUCAUGAAGCUUUACUUCUGUUUUCUUCUAAGAGUUUUAUAGCUUUAGCUCUUAUAUUAGGUCUUUAAUCCAUGCAUUACUGUAUCUUUUUUAAGAUUCUUUUCCAUUAUAUUUUUUAAGAUUUUAAUUUUUUCCAUUAUAGUUGAUUUAUAGCAUUGUGUCAAUUUAUACUAUAUAGCAAAAUGACCCAGUCAAAUAUAAAUACAUAUAUAGAAUACAUAUUCUUUUUCUCACAUUACCCUCCAUCAUGCUCCAUCACAAGUGACCAGAUAUAUUUCCCUGUGCUAUACAGCAGGAUCCCAUUGCUUAUCCACUCCAAAUGUCAUAGUUUGCAUCUGUUAACCCCAAACUCCCAGUUUAUCCCACUCCCUCCCCCUCUCCCUUGGCAACCACAAAUCUGUUCUCCAAGUCUAUGAGUUUCUUUUCUACUACAGGUAUUGAACAUAGUUCCCUGGGGUAUACAGUAGGAUUCUGUUGUUUAUCUAUUUUGUAUAUAGUAGUGUGUAUAUGUUAAUUCCAACCUCCUCAUUUAUCACCUCCUUCCUCUUUGGUAACCAUAAAUUUGUGAGUCUAUUUCUGUUUUGUGAAUAAGUUCAUUCUCUAAGAUUCCACUUCAGGGAUAUCAUAUUUGUCUUUUGCUAUCUGUGCAUGAUAAUCUCUAGGUCUGUGCAUGUUGCUGGAAAUCGCAUUAUUUCAUUAUUUUUAAUAACUAAUAGUCCAUAUAUGAACCACAUCCUCUUUAUCCAUUACUCUGUUGAUGGACACAUAGGUGUAUUCUAUGUCUCAGAUAUUAUGAAUAGCGCUGAGAUGAACAUUGGGGUGCAUGUAUCUUUUUGAAUUAUAGAUUUUGUAUUUUCCGAAUAUAUGCCUGGAAGUGGGAUUGCAAGAUCAUAUGGUAACUCUAUUUUUAGUUUUUAUCAGGAAUGUCUGUUCUGUUCUCCAUAGUGGCCUCACCAGUGAGGGCAACACCCUUCCCACCAACGGUGUAAGAAGGUUCCCUUUUCUCCACACCCUGUUAAGCAUUAAUUCCUUGUAGACUUUUUGAUGAUGGCCAUUAUGACUGGUAUGAGGUAAUACCUCACUGUAGUCUCGAUUUACAUUUGUUUCAUUAUUUAGCAGCAUUGAGCAUCUUUUCAUUGCCUAUUAGGCCAUCUGGAUGUUGUCUUUGGAGAAAUGUCUAUUUAGGUUCUUUGCCCAUUUUUUGAUUGGGUCGUUUUUUUAAUAUUGAGAUAUAUGAAUUGUUUGUAUAUUUUGGAACUAAAGCCCUUGUUGGAUACAUUAUUCAAGUAUCACUUUUUUAUAUGGUGUUAGGGAAGGGUCCAACAUCAUUCUUUUGCAUGUGGAUAUCUAGUUUUCCCAACAUAAUUUGUUCAAUAGACUGUCCUAUCCCCACCGAAUGGUAUUGGUAUGCUUGCCAAAAAGUUGUUUAUUUGAUAUAUAUGUGAGAGUUUAUUUCUGGGCUCUCUAUUCUACUCCAUUGCUCUAUAUAACUGUCUUUAUGUAGUAAAAUUGGACAUUAGAAAGUGUGAGUCUUCCACCUUUUUCUUUUUCAAGAUUUUUAUGCUGGUGGGGUCCCUUGAGGUUUAUAGAAUGGAUUUUUCCACUUCUAGAAAAACGUCAUUGGGAUUUUGAUAGUGAUUGCACUGAAUCUAAAGAUUGUUUGGGUAGUUUUGACAUCUUUAACAAUAUUAAGUCUUUCAGUCAAUACGAAAUUUUAAUCUGUUUAUGUCUCCUUAAAUUUUUUUUCAGCAGUGUUUUAUAGUUUGCAGUGCUUAACACAUUGGUUAACUUAACUCCUUGGUUAAGGUAAUUCUUAAGAACUUUGUUCAGAAAAUUGCUAUUGUGCCUGGAACUGUUUACUUAAUUUCCUUUUGGGAUUGUUCCCUGUCCUUGUAUAGAAACACAGCUGACUUUUGCAUGUUAAUUUUAUAUCCUACUACCUUCCUGAAUUUGUUAUUGUUAUUGUUAUUAUUAUUUUUUGAGGGCCACAUCCACAGUAUAAGGAAGUUCCCAGGCUAGGGGUCAAAUCGCAGGUGCAGCUGCCAGCUUACACCACAGCCACAGCAAUGCCAGAUCUGAGCUGCAUCUGCAACCUACAUACACCACAGCUCAUGGCAAUGCUGGAUCCUUAACCCACUGAGCAAGGCCAGGGGCUGAACCCAUCCCCCAUGGACCCUAGUUGGGUUACCUCUGAGUCACAAGGGGAACUCCUGAAUUUAUUUUUUUUUUAAUUUUGUGGAGUCUUUAGGGUUUCCUAUAGUAUAAUAUCAUGUUAUCUAUGAAGAGAGAUAAUUUUACUUCUAUUCAAUUUAGAUAUCUAUUAUUUCUUCAAAUACUUUUUCCACUCUGCCCUCUUUUUCCUCCUUCUGGGACUUCAAUAUUAGAUCUUUUGUUAUAGGUAUGAUGGGCCUCUGAAGCUCUUUCCAGUUUUACCUUUUUAUUAGUCACUUUAUCUAUUUUUGAGAUUAGACAGAUUAUAUUGUUCUUUCUUUAGGUUCAUUAAUUCAUUCCUCUAUUUUUUACAUUCUGUUGUUAAGCUCAAAUCUGUCAGUUUUGGUAAUGUCAAUUUUGGUAUUAUUUAUCAGUGCUUAAAUUUCUGUUCAUUUCUUAUUUAUAUCUUAUAUUUCUUUACUGAGAUGAUCUCUUUUUUCAUUUGUUUUGAGGAUGUUUCUAACUGCUUGUUAAGCACUUUUAUGAUGACUUUAAAAUCUUUGUCAGAUCAUUAUAAAAUCUGUAAUCUUGCAGUUGA
rnacentral:lncRNA from 1 species